CAUCGGGCGAAAAGAGUUAAUCAAUGUAUGGAUUUGAGUUGCUUUUUCUGAUGACCAUCCUCGAAAGUCAUGCACAGUGGACUUGUUGUUUCGAUACGUGGCUCUUCAUUUUGUGGAGCAUCUCGUCAAGUUCGAAGUAUGGUGGUUGAGAUGGAGCAUGCUCUAUCUCCACUUUAUUUUGGAUCAACUGAUCCUUGGUCAAUCGGGGAUAAGCUGACUAACCAUGAUCUUUUUCGUCUGGAUCUGUGCUGAAAACUAUAGAUUAUACUUUAGCGGCCCUUCGGCCAGAGCUGGCAUGCUAACAGCUGUCGAACUUUACGGCUCCAUUAAACGAGGAUUAGCCGAAGAACAUCAGAUUUCGCUUUGGUUUGCACUGUGAACUGUAGCUUAUACUCUAGCGGUCCUUCGACC
rnacentral:lncRNA from 1 species